CCGAGUUUACAAACUCCCAAACCCCUGUGAACUUAUACCUAUACGUUGCUUCGGCGGGACUCGCCCCGGCUGCCAACCCGCUCGCGGGGAGGCGGACCGGACCCAGGCGCCCGCCGGAGGACCCAAACUCUUCUGUCUCUCAUAGCGGCAUGUCUGAGUGGAUUUUUAUACAAAAUGAAUCA
rnacentral:misc_RNA from 1 species